AACGAACGCUGGCGGCGCGCCUAAUACAUGCAAGUCGAGCGAGAAGACGUAGCAAUACGUUUGUAAAGCGGCGAACGGGUGAGGAAUACAUGGGUAACCUACCCUCGAGUGGGGAAUAACUAGCCGAAAGGUUAGCUAAUACCGCGUACGCUCCUUGGACUUCGGUUCAGGGAGGAAAGCGAUACCGUGGGUAUCGCGCUCUUGGAUGGGCUCAUGUCCUAUCAGCUUGUUGGUGAGGUAACGGCUCACCAAGGCUUCGACGGGUAGCUGGUCUGAGAGGACGAUCAGCCACACUGGCACUGCGACACGGGCCAGACUCCUACGGGAGGCAGCAGUAAGGAAUAUUGCGCAAUGGGCGAAAGCCUGACGCAGCGACGCCGCGUGGGGGAUGAAGGUCUUCGGAUUGUAACCCCUUUCGGAGGGAAGAUGGAACGAGCAAUCGUUCGGACGGUACCUCCAGAAGCAGCCACGGCUAACUUCGUGCCAG
rnacentral:rRNA from 1 species